AUGAAUAUAAAUGUGUCAUCCUACCAUUAUUUGGAGAAGAGUGAUAAUAUUUGUAAACUUUAGAUUCAGGAGAAAAGAUAGGACAACUAAGAGUUGUUUUAUGUGUCAGAAGUGAUUUGGUGUACUUGUUUUGAAAUCGUUAUUAUCACUGGUGGAAUCCUUUAAGUUUAUCUUGAAGGAGUACUGAACCUAAUCCAAAGUUUAGGAUUAACCAGAAUAAAACACGUUUCCUUCUUAAACAUAUGGAAGAUCAAGCACCAGAUGGACUAUUGUUUGUAUGAAAAGUGUUGGACUCUAUUCAACCCAUGUUCUAGAGCUAAAGUGUUACUUCAGUACAAUCAUUCUAUAUUGGUUUAAUAGGUUCGGAGGUCUCUAUAUUUGGAGGUUUGUUUCAAUUGGGUCCUCCAAUUUUUGAAGUGAUCAAUUAGGUCCCUAAUUUUGUCAAUUUGAAUCAAUAAAAGCCUUUAUGUUAAAUGCAGUUAACGCUGUGAAGUUUUUGAACAUGUGACACGCUGACGCUUCUAGGUGGCAUCAUUUCAACUGCAUAGAUAGAUUAUAAAAGGGUGAAAUCCCUUUUAAUUUAGGGAUUUCAAUUUCAAACACAUGUUCAAAAACUUCACGGCGUUAACUGUAUUCAACGAAAAGACUUUUAUUGAUUUAAAUUGACAAAAUUAGGGACCUAAUUGAUCACUUUCAAAAUUGGAGGACCCAAUUGAAACAAACCCCCAAAUAUAGGGACCUCCGAACCUAUUAAACCUUCUAUAUUCACUAUCCAGAG
rnacentral:lncRNA from 1 species